rnacentral:rRNA from 1 species
UACGUAGGGUCCGAGCGUUGUCCGGAAUUAUUGGGCGCAAGGGGUCGUAGGCGGUUUGUCGCGUCUGCUGUGAAAUCCCGAGGCUCAACCUCGGGUCUGCAGUGGGUACGGGCAGACUGGAGUGCGGUAGGGGAGAAUGGAAUUCCUGGUGUAGCGGUGGAAUGCGCAGAUAUCAGGAGGAACACCGAUGGCGAAGGCAGUUCUCUGGGCCGUAACUGACGCUGAGGAGCGAAAGCGUGGGGAGCGAACAGG